rnacentral:rRNA from 1 species
AUACGGAGGGUGCAAGCGUUAAUCGGAAUUACUGGGCGUAAAGCGCGCGUAGGCGGAUAUUUAAGUCUCAUGUGAAAGCCCUGGGCUCAACCUGGGAACUGCAUGGGAUACUGGGUAUCUAGAAUACAGUAGAGGGUAGUGGAAUUUCAGGUGUAGCGGUGAAAUGCGUAGAGAUCUGAAGGAACAUCAGUGGCGAAGGCGACUACCUGGACUGAUAUUGACGCUGAGGUGCGAAAGCGUGGGGAGCAAACGGGAUUAGAAACCCCAGUAGUCC